CCUACGGGGGGCUGCAGUCGAGAAUCAUUCACAAUGGGGGAAACCCUGAUGGUGCGACGCCGCGUGGGGGAAUGAAGGUCUUCGGAUUGUAAACCCCUGUCAUGUGGGAGCAAAUUAAAAAGAUAGUACCACAAGAGGAAGAGAAGGCUAACUCUGUGCCAGCAGCCGCGGUAAUACAGAGGUCUCAAGCGUUGUUCGGAAUCACUGGGCGUAAAGCGGGCGUAGGUGGGUUCGUAAGUCGUGUGUGAAAGGCGCGGGCUCAACCCGCGGACGGCACAUGAUACUGCGAGACUAGAGUAAGGGAGGGGGAACGGGAAUUCUCGGUGUAGCAGUGAAAUGCGUAGAGAUCGAGAGGAACACUCGUGGCGAAGGCGGGUUCCUGGACAUUAACUGACGCUGAGGCACGAAGGCCAGGGGAGCGAAAGGGAUUAGAUAUCCGGGUAGUC
rnacentral:rRNA from 1 species